rnacentral:rRNA from 1 species
GGAAACAAUUAAGGGCAAAUGGUGGAUGCCUUGGCACUAAAAGACGAUGAAGGACGUAGCAUAGCUGCGAUAAGCUUCGGGUAGGUGUGUAGCAACCUUUGAUCCGAAGAUCUCCGAAUGGGGCAACCUAAUAAACUUUAAAGUUUAUUACUUUAUUAUCGAAGGAUAAUAAAGGGCAAACCUAGGGAAGUGAAACAUCUCAGUACCUAGAGGAAAAGAAAACAAUUUCUUGUCUUUAACAAGACGCAGAUAAACAUAAUCUGUAAUAUAUCAAAUAUAUAACAGUUGGUAAAUCCGCGAUUCUUGUUUUUGACAAGAACGAUUCCCCAAGUAGUGGCGAGCGAAAAGGGAACAGCCUAAACUGAACAAAAUUUGUAUAAAAUUUUGUUUAGGGUCAUAAGAAUUUUUCAUUUUGAUUGCAAAAUCAAACAGGGUAAAAAGUGAUAAUAAUUAGCAGAAAUAUCUGGAAAGAUAUACCAUAGAAGGUAAAGGUCCUGUAUGCAAAAAUUAUUAUCUACCUUGAGAAAUUUUUCUUGAGUACUUCGAGGUAAAGGUUACUUCGAAGGAAUUUUCCUGAACUAUUUAGGAAAGGCUAAAUACUUUUAGUGACCGAUAGUGAACAAGUACCGUGAGGGAAAGGUUAAAAGCAACCCGGUGAGGGUGAUGAAAUAGUAUCUGAAACCAUUUUGCCUACAAAGAGACGGAACUCAUAUCACUAUCGCUCUAAACUUCUAAAUUAUAUUUUCAAAUAUAUUUUCAAAAUCAGAUUUUCUAUUUGAUAUUUAAUUUCGAAGCUUUGAGCGAUAGUGAGGGGCGACGUCGUGCCUAUUGAAGAAUGAGCCUGCGAGUUUGCUUACUGUGUUAUUUAAUCUGCUGAGGCAGAAAAGGUAAAGCGAAAGCGAGUGUUAAUAGCGCGCCAUAGAUUUUAUUUUUCUUUUUGUGCGUAAGCACAGAAAGACUAAAAUAAUUUCUAUAAACACAUUAGGCAAGACCCGAAGCCAGAUGAGCUUACCAUGAACAGGUUGAACUCUAUAGAAAUAUAGGGGGAGGACCGAACCCAUAAGCUGUUCAAUACUUUGGGAUGAUUUGUGGUAAGGAGUGAAAUACUAAUCGAAUCUGGUAAUAGCUGGUUCUCCCCGAAAUAGCUCUAGGGCUAGCGGUUUAUUUAUCCUGAUGGGGGUAGAGCACUGAAUGGUUUGUAAUGGUGGAAACACCAGCAAACCAAUCAAACUCCGAAUACCAUCUUGUUACAAUAAACCAGUCAGACUGUGGGGGCUAAGCUCCAUGGUCAAAAGGAAAAGAAUCCUGAUCGUCGUUUAAGGUCCCUAAAUUUUAGCUAAGUGCUAGUGGAAGGUAGUGAUUCACCGAAGACAGUUAGGAGGUUGGCUCAGAGGUAGCUAUCCUUUUAAGAGUGUGUAACAACUCACUAUCAUAUCCCGUUCCUCUUUUGAUAAAGAAAUUUUUUAAUUAUUUGUAAUUUUCUAAAUCCAAUAAUAUCCAAUAAUAAAAAUUUCAACGUCAAAAGUGGAACGGGAAUGGUGGAUUGCGCCGAAAAUGUAGAGGGGCUAAGCUAAAUACCGAAGACACGACUUGUUUAAAUUUUGCUAUGCAAAAUUUAGGCAGGGGUAGGGGAGCAUUUUUUAUUCACUGAAGAUUGACCCGCGAGGGCAAUUGGAGAAUAAGGAAGAGAGAAUGCAGGCACAAGUAACCACAAUCCUGAUGUAAAAUCAGGACCCCGUAAGCUCGAGGUUUCCUUGGCAAUGCAAAUCAUCCAAGGGUUAGGCGAACCUAAGGCAAUGACGAAAGUCGCAGCCGAUGGAUAACUAGUUAAUAUUCUAGUCCUCCUAUAUUAUUUGAUGAGAUGACAAAGAAAAAAAGAUAAAGUGUUUUAAUGGUUUAACAUUGUAAAGAAUAGGAUUGUAGAUUUGGCAAAUCCGGUCUACUAAAUUUAAUUUUAAAAUCCGAUCUCAACAGAAGGCAGGAGUUUCUCCUACCAACUUUGUCGAAGAGUCUUUCAGGAAAAGUCUCUAAAAUUAUUAAUAUAGGAACCGUACUUAAACCAACACAGGUGAGCGAGGCGAGUAGCCUAAGGGGAACGAGUGAGAUUUCGUUAAGGAACUAGGCAAACAAGCGGCCGUAAGUUAGCGAUAAGGCCUGGCUGUCUGUUUACAGAUGGCCCGCAGUGAAAGUAUGCUUGGCGACUGUUUACCAAAAACACAGAUCCCUGCGAACUCGUAAGAGGAUGUAUAGGGGUUGAUACCUGUCCGAUGCCAGAAGGUGAAAAGUGACUGUCUAUUAAUCGCAAGAUUGAUAGGCUGCGCGCUCUAAGCCCUGGUCAAUGACAGCGAUAACUAUAAUCGUUCUAAGGUAGCGUAAUUCCUUGUCGGGUAAGUUCCGACGCGCAUGAAUGGUAUAACGACUAAGCA